rnacentral:lncRNA from 1 species
AAGCAAAAUAAAUGUUUACUGAUAUGCAUGGGGCAAUAUUUGUUGUAAAUAGUAAAUGUUAGACUUGAUUAUUAUAUUAAAAUCCUGUUUCUACUACAGCAUACUCAUUGUGGGUUUUUUUCCCUUGUUUCAAUUAGAGAACUCACAGGAUUCUCAAUUUAUUUUGUACACUAGUGGAAAGGACCAGCCGCCCUUCUCAAGGUGAAGGACUGUGCAUGUCCACCUCACAUGAAGCAAGUGUUUAUUUUAGUAUGAUUUAACUGACAUGCUGAGAUGCGCUGAGAACUCCUGGGAUUAGAGUUUGGAGGGGCUUUCACAGAGCAUGGAACAAUCUCUGAGAGGCCUGAGAAUCAUUGGUGGCUUAAAGGCCACAUGGUUGUCCCAGAAGUCAUCAUGGGGACAUCCUUGAUCUUGGCACUUUUGUCAAAUACGAACUAAUCAUAGUCAUAUAAAUUUAUGUCUGGAUGCAAGAUUCCUCUCGAUUAAUCCUCAUGUCAGUACCACACUGUCUUGACUACUGUAGCCUUGAAAAAGUAAGUUUGGAAAUCAGGAAAUAACUUUGAACUUCAUUCUUUACAAAAUUGUUUUAGCUAUUAUGUUUCCCUUGCAUUCCCAUAUGAAUUUUGGGAAUGAUUUUUCAAUUUCUGCACAGAAAGAAAAAAAGAUAGUUGGGAUUUGUUACAGGGGUUGCAUUGAAUCUAUAGGUUAAUUUAGGAACCAGUGGCAUCUUAACAAGUCUUUCAGUCAUUAUGUAUGGAAUGUUAGGUCUAGUUGGUUUACAAAUUUGCUCAAAUCAACAGUAUCUUUGCUGAUCUUGUAUUCAUUAUUGAAAAGGGACUGAAGUCUCCAACUACUAUAGUUCAUUUCUCUUUGAUUCUGUCAGGUUUUGCUCCAUGUAUGUUGGGGCUCUGUUUUUAGGUGUAUUCAUGUUAUAAAUUAUUUUGUUCAUCUUUUUUCAUUGUAUAGUGCCCUCCUUUGUCUUUUCAUGAAUAAAUUUUGGCUUAAAUUCUAUUUUUCCUGUAGUUUCAUUUAUAUGAAAUACUUAUAAGAGACCAAUUCAUAAAGCCAGAGUAGAUUAGAGGUUAC